AUCCCUUAAACUAAUGAGUAAGGAAAAUAACGGUCCCGGGUGAUGCCCGGGUCCUCGCCGCCUCGUGCGAGAGGAAUUUUUGAGCAGGUAAAGUUCGCCCUGCAGGUGACCCGCCUACUUUGUGGGAUGCCGCGGCGCAUUGAUCUGACCGG